UACGUAGGGGGCUAGCGUUGUCCGGAUUUAUUGGGCGUAAAGAGCGUGUAGGCGGCCAGGUAGGUCUGCUGUGAAAACUCGAGGCUCAACCUCGAGACGUCGGCGGAAAACCAUCUGGCUAGAGUACGGAAGAGGCGAGUGGAAUUCCCGGUGUAGCGGUGAAAAUGCGCAGAUAUCAGGAGGAACACCAACGGCGAAGGCAGCUCGCUGGGACGGUAACUGACGCUAAGGGCGCGAAAAGCGUGGGGAGCGAACGGG
rnacentral:rRNA from 1 species